GAUGAACGCUGGCGGCGUGCCUAAUACAUGCAAGUCGAGCGAACAGACGAGGAGCUUGCUCCUCUGACGUUAGCGGCGGACGUGUGAGUAACACGUGGAUAACCUACCUAUAAGACUGGGAUAGCUUCGGGAAACCGGCGCUAAUACCGGAUAAUAUAUUGAACCGCAUGGUUCAAUAGUGAAAGACGGUUUUGCUGUCACUUAUAGAUGGAUCCGCGCCGCGUUAGCUAGUUGGUAAGGUAACGGCUUACCAAGGCAACGAUGCGUAGCCGACCUGAGAGGGUGGUCGGCCACACUGGAACGGAGACACGGUCCAGGCGCAUACGGGAGGGAGCAGUAGGGAAUCGUCCGCAAGGGGCGAAAGACUGACGGAGCAACGCCGCGUGAGUGAGGAAGGUCUUCGGAUCGGAAAACUCUGUUAUUAGGGAAGAACAAAUGUGUAAGUAACUAGGCACGUCUUGACGGUACAUAAUCAGAAAGCCACGGCUAACUAAGUG
rnacentral:rRNA from 1 species